UACGCACGCUGGCGGCGUGCUUAACACAUGCAAGUCGAACGGAAAGGCCCUGCUUUUGUGGGGUGCUCGAGUGGCGAACGGGUGAGUAGCACGUGAGUAACCUGCCCUUGACUUUGGGAUAACUUCAGGAAACUGGGGCUAAUACCGGAUAGGAGCUCCUGCUGCAUGGUGGGGGUUGGAAAGUUUCGGCGGUUGGGGAUGGACUCGCGGCUUAUCAGCUUGUUGGUGGGGUAGUGGCUUACCAAGGCUUUGACGGGUAGCCGGCCUGAGAGGGUGACCGGCCACAUUGGGACUGAGAUACGGCCCAGACUCCUACGGGAGGCAGCAGUGGGGAAUAUUGCACAAUGGGCUGAAGCCUGAUGCAGCAACGCCGCGUGCGGUAUGACGGCCUUCGGUUUGUAAACCGCUUUCGCCUGUGACGAAGCGUGAGUGACGGUAAUGGGUAAAGAAGCACCGGCUAACUACGUG
rnacentral:rRNA from 1 species